GACGAACGCUGGCGGCGUGCUUAACACAUGCAAGUCGAACGAUGAAGAAGAGAAACGCGAACUUCGGUUCAAAUUUCACUUCGGAUUAGUGGCAGACGGGUGAGUAACGCGUGAGCAACCUACCUCUUACAAAGGGAUAGCCUCGGGAAACCGUGAUUAAUACCAUAUGACACAUUCAUAAGGCAUCUUAAGAAUGUUAAAGCUACGGCGGUAAGAGAUGGGCUCGCGUCCCAUUAGCUAGUUGGUGAGGUAACGGCCCACCAAGGCGACGAUGGGUAACCGGCCUGAUAGCGUGAACGGUCACAUUGGAACUGAGACACCGUCCAAACUCCUACGGGAGGCAGCAGUGGGGAAUAUUGCACAAUGGAGGGAACUCUGAUGCAGCGACGCCGCGUGAGCGAUGAAGGAAUUCGUUUCGUAAAGCUCUGUUCUAUGGGAAGAAAAGGACUGUACCAUAGGAGACAGCCCCGGCUAAAUACGUG
rnacentral:rRNA from 1 species